rnacentral:rRNA from 1 species
UUUAAACUGGUUGGGAAAACCAAAUAUAUUAUAUAUUUUGCUUUGUUCAAAAUAAGGUUUUCUAAUAAAUUAUGUUUUUAUCAGAUAUGACAGAAUCUUUUUUAAAAUCUCUUCAAUAUGCUUUUAUUGCUUUUGAGAGGUUUUGUUACUUUGAGUAAAAUUAAGUGUUCAUAACAGACGGGUAGUCAUGAUUGAGUUCAUUGUGUA